UUGCAUCAUUUCAUAACAAGGGCAUUCCCUUGUCUCCAAAAAGAUUGACUAAGAAAGAGGGGGUGUAUAAUAUGCUGAACUUUCUGAAAAAAAUCCUCAACUUUUGCUUUCAGUUUGUGGUUGUGCACAUUCAAGGAGUAAAUGAUGGCCAGAAACCAAUAUGAGAAAGGAAGGAACUGCUCAGAUGAGAGGGUGUUGGCCUAAGGGAUUACCACGAGAGCUUUCAAAUGGGUAGAAUUCAGUUCUACAAACAUUUUCCAUUCGAGAAAACUGAAGUUCGAAGAAGCUGAAUCGCCUUGGAGCAGGAGUUCUGCAUUGAGUCCUACACGAUGGAGGAUCAAGAUAUGACCUCUCAGCUGUUGCUGCCCCCUUGCCUUUGUUCUGCUGUCAAGAACUCUAAUUAUCUGAAACUGUUUCUCCUCAGUUUUUAACAAAGGCUGCGUUUCGUGGCUGUUCUGGCACAAGCGAAGAAGCGUAAAUCUUAGAAAGAAUGCGCUCUUGGAAAGUGGUAAGAAA
rnacentral:lncRNA from 1 species